GAAUCGGCUUAGCUGAAAAAGGCAGAUCUGGUUGAACUAGUAGGAAGAACACCCUUCUAAGGUGAAGGUAUUCCAUUUCUAAGAAGGAAGUUCUAUAUAUUCGAACUAGAGAGAAGCUCUAAAAUGGAAAUCGAAAA